CAGAAAGUAGUUUAAUGAAAAUAUUAGUUUUGGGGGUUAAUGAUAGGGUAGAUACCUUCUUUCUGA
rnacentral:tRNA from 1 species